UUGUUUGUAUACUAAAUUGUUGAAAUAUAGAAAUUGUUCUGUAUAUAUACUGAAUUGUCGCAAUAAAGAAAUUGUUGUGAAUAUGAACUGAAAAUUUUAGGGUCAACAUUAUACAGAACACUUUGCAACGUAUAAAUUUACAUAUACAUAGAAAAUACUUUCACCGUUAAUUAGCAACAAUACAAACUGACACUACUAAAAAAAACGAAAAAAGUCAACCACAAAAAUCAACCACAAGUAGCCGGUCUUCCCAAUUUUCCAACCACAAAAUCGACCAAAAAAAGUCAUUGAUUUUUUAAUUAAAUUAAUUAAUUAAUUUAAUAAAAAACCAACCACAUGUGAUCGAUUUUUUAUAAAAUUAAUAAUUAAAUUUAUUGAAAAACGACCACUUGUGGUCGAUUUUCUGCAAAAAAAAUUCAAAAACCGACCAAAUUUUUAAAAAAAAAAAUUACAAAUCCCAAACACAGCAUUCAACAACAACAAUAUACAGCAGUCUUAAGCAUGAAAUUUACAAGACAUUUAAUUCAAUUUAUCCCGAAAUCAAAACAUAUAACUUGAGCAUAAACAUACGUAACAUGUCUUGAACAUUCAUUUUAAAAAUAAAGUUUCAAUCAAAAUUUUCAAAACAUCAGUUAAUUUCUGAACUAUUCCAAACUAACAAUCCAUAAUUCAACAAGUGAUGGAACAAAACUAGGCCUUGGUCUUGGAGGAUCAUUGUUAUCUCUAACAUAAUAUUUCUUUGACUUGACCACACCGUAUUUUCAUAAAAGAGAUGCAUAUCUUAAUCGAUGCGUAGCUACAUCAACAUCUGCUGAAGAAAUUGGUAUUCCUUCACUCAAGUACUCCACAUAUCCAGCUUCAAUUACACCACAAUCCCUAAAUGUUAUGAUAAAUAGCUAAAUAAAGCUGUUCAACUACAUUUAUACUAUGCUUAAAAAUCGAGAACUACGCACAUGAAAAAAGUAAAUGAUAGAUUUUUAAUUUAUUGGAUUUUAAAUUCUAGUAAAAUUGAUAAAAAAAAAGUUCACUUUUAAAGUCACCAAAACUUAAGCAUUUUCAAGUAAUAAAGUCACCAACCACAUCACCUCCUAAACACUAAUUCACUAUUAAAGUCACCAAAACUUAAGCAUUUUCAACUAAUAAUAGUCACCAACCACAUCACCUCCUAAACACUAAUUCACUAUUAAAGUCACCAAAACUUAAACAUUUUCAACAAAUAAAGUCACCAACAACAUCACCUUCUAAACACUAGUUCACUAUUAAAGUCACCAAAACUUAGCUUUUUCAACUAACAAAGGCACCAACGAAACUAAUUCAAUAUUAAACUCACCGGCACUUGAGCAUUUUCAACUAAUAAAGUCACCAACCACAUCACCGCCUAAACACUAAUUCACUAUUAAAGUCACCAAAACUUUAAGCAUUUUCAACAAAUAAAGUCACCACCAACAUCACCUUCUAAACACUAGUUCACUAUUAAAGUCACCAAAACUUAAACUUUUUCAACUAACAAAGGCACCAACGAAACUAAUUCACUAUUAAAGUCACCGGCACUUAAGUAUUUUCAACUAAUAAAGUCACCAACCACAUCACCUCCUAAACACUAAUUCACUAUUAAAGUCACCAAAACUUAAGCAUUUUCAACAAAUAAAGUCACCAAUAACAUCACCUUCUAAACACUAGUUCACUAUUAAAGUCACCAAAACUUAAGCUUUUUCAACUAACAAAGGCACCAGCGAAACUAAUUCACUAUUAAAGUCACCGGCACUUAAGCAUUUUCAACAAAUAAAGUCACCAACAACAUCACCUUCUAAACAAAAGUUCACUUUUAAAGUCACCAAAACUUAAGCAUUUUCAACUAAUAAAGUCACCAACCAUAUCACCUUCUAAACUCUAAUUCACUAUUAAACAUUUUCAAGUAACUACACUUAAAACAUUUUCGACUCACUAAUACACUUCUCAAGCGACCACACUUAACUAUAUUCAAAAUACAAGUCUACAUUUCAAGUACCUUAAAAAAAAUCCCUUUAAAGUCCCUAGACUUAACCAUUUUCAAGUGACUAAGUCACCAACCAAACCACUUUCAAAACACAAAAUCCCUCCCUACACUUAACCAUUUUUAAGUAACUACACCUAACCAUUUUCAAGUCAUGUACUAGCAUUUCAAGUCGCUACACUUAACUAUUUUCAAUUAACUAAUUCAAAUUUUCAAGUCACUAUACAACCAUUUUCAAAUAACUACACUUCUAUAUGCAUCCACUUUCAAGUAACUAAACUUAACCAUAUUCAAGUCAGUACUACACAUUUUGAUACAAGAACGACCAGCGACCAAGAACACACCAAAACAUACAUCCAAAACAGUCCACAAGUUCAAGAGAACCGAGGACCCUAUGGAUGACCACUCUCGGAUUCACACACAAUAACAAGAACACAAUGUAGUGAGGUGUUUAACUCCUAUUUUCCAGUCAACAAUCCAAACAAGAUUAUCAACACAAGACAAAAACAACACUGUAACAACAACAAGACAGUCACGAGUACAUUAACAGCAACAAGAAUCGGAUGGAAAAUGUGAUAUACCUUUAUCUUUAUAUCAUAGUAUAAAAAACCAAGUUGUACAUAAGGCAAGAUUCAGAUAAUUAGAAAACCUAUUCCUACCACAACAAUUAUGCAGAUUACUGUUUUCUUGCUUUAUAUUUUAUACGAAUUUAGAAGAUUCACUUUCAAGUUUCAAUCUUUUCACUUAUCCCCAUAGUUUUUUCACAAGUAUCACAAAAUACUACCAACUUUUUUACCCAAUAUACAAUCAAAUACUGCAUCAAGAACACUAACUAAGUCAAGACGUAACCCUCAUAUAACAAUUUCAAACACAGGUUGGAAUUAGUAAUCACAUUAAGUGUCUCACAAAAUUUAUCAAAAAUGCUUCCUCAAAUUAACUUCAAGUCACAACAAUAUGUCAAAUUAAUCAAGUAAAAGAGAUUUUUGAGAUUUUAAAAAAUAUGAUGUCGUUGUGGUAGCGGCUGGCGACGCAGUUUCGUUCCGAGGAGGGGCUCGGAGGUGGCUGGUUGUCGCUGUUGUGGUCGCUGGCUCGUUUAUCCAGCGGUAGUUCUCCGGCGAGGCGGCAGAAGAGCGGAGGGAGGGUUGACGGCGCCGUUGGGACGACGUUUUAGUCGUUGGGCGCCGGAGAAAGGGGCGGCGAUUCCUAUUUUUAGAGAGGUGGGAGAGAGGAAGAGAGAGGUAGGAGAGGGGUAAACGGGUCGGAUGAGAGAGAGAGGGAUGGAGGCUAAUGGGAUUAGGGUUAGGGUUGAAGAGGUUUUGGUUUAAAAAGGAAAGGCAUGGCUUUUGAUCUCAGCCAUCGGAUCGAAUUUUAUCUACGGCUG
rnacentral:lncRNA from 1 species